GCCAGACUCCUACGGGAGGCAGCAGUGGGGAAUAUUGCACAAUGGGGGAAACCCUGAUGCAGCGACGCCGCGUGAGUGAAGAAGUAUUUCGGUAUGUAAAGCUCUAUCAGCAGGGAAGAUAAUGACGGUACCUGACUAAGAAGCCCCGGCUAACUACGUGCCAGCAGCCGCGGUAAUACGUAGGGGGCAAGCGUUAUCCGGAUUUACUGGGUGUAAAGGGUGCGCAGGUGGCAGGGCAAGUCAGAUGUGAAAGCCCGGGGCUCAACCCCGGUAUUGCAUUUGAAACUGUCCGGCUAGAGUGCAGGAGAGGUAAGCGGAAUUCCUAGUGUAGCGGUGAAAUGCGUAGAUAUUAGGAGGAACACCAGUGGCGAAGGCGGCUUACUGGACUGUAACUGACACUGAGGCACGAAAGCGUGGGGAGCAAACAGGAUUAGAUACCCGAGUA
rnacentral:rRNA from 1 species